CCGGCGGCUGCUGCCGCGCAGCGCGUGGGGCUUCCGGUCCGGACAGCGACGCGUGAAGACCGACAGAGGACGCUUUCCACGAACCCGGGAAACUGAGUCCUAGAAAGCGUUCUAGAAACACCCACGACACGGUCAACGCUGCUCUGCCGAGGGGCCCGGAGGUCACACCGCUGAGCAGCUCUUGACCACACCCCAGAUGCCCGCACAGGCCACUCCCAGCGUGGGUGUCGGUCUGUUCUGCUGGCACCCAGCUUGUGGACAUAUGGACUUGGAUGCAUAGCAGGAAGCUGAGUGACCAGACCAAUGAACACAGCAGCAGCACCUUCCUGCCCUGAGCCUCCGCCCAAGAGCAAAUCACCUGUGAUUGGAGCUGAGCUAGAACAUUCUCAAACAGCGCAGAGCUCCCUUCAGAGCCAGCAUGCCAGCCCUGGGCACCUGAGCGGUGUUCACAGAGCCUUGGCAUAACUGCUGGUGGAGGUUUGCCCUCAUCAGACCUCACAGGGCUUCUCUGUCUUCAACGGUUUCAGACUUGAAGAGUUCCUUUGUGCACAGGGUAAGGGGCCAGGAUCACAGAAGAGGCUUCUCUUCAGGGCACACAGUGAACAGCUUGACCCUUCAGAGGAUAAUCACUUUCCUGUAAACCUAGUCUUGUCACAUGGGCCUCAUCGGUAAUGUGUGAUGUUUAUUUUGUCUCCGGGAGACUGCCGUAGGUUACACGAAUGAAUACAUAACAAAGUAAUGCUGUGAUAGGCUAGAGAGGCUGUGGGUUCUGGAGUCAGGCUGCCGGCACCAUCCUGGCUCUCCCUCUCUUCCUCCGCUCAUCCUCCUCUUCUUCCUCCUGACUGUAGAAUUGACGUGGCCUUCCUGAGACCAGAGCUCUUACCCAUCAGGGAUAAACCCGCUUCGCAGGGUUACUGCGGGUAUAUUUAAACAUUAAGGAUUUAUUGUGCUUGGUUCAUCUUGGCAUGAGGCAAAUGAUGACAAUAAUCGUUUUUAUUACUAUUAUUUCCCAUGGGCAGCAAUCAGCCAUUGGCCUAAUAGCCUGCUGGAGAAAUGACACCAUUAAUGCUUUAUCAAGGCUCAAAGCACAGGCCAUCAGGAGCUACAAAAGCCUGCUAACCAGGACCUGUGCCCCGUGGAACCCCAUGCGCAGACUUCACUGCCUGGAGACUUGUCAUCUCGGGGGACUUUGACUCCCUGCAUUAUGAGUCUUGACUUCUCAUCAGAGUCCAUGCAUUCCCUGCAGGUUGGGUUCAGAUGCCAUCCACCAGGCACCACCACGCAAGCAUCCGCUCAGGUGCUGCUGGGCAGGAGCC